ensembl:lncRNA novel transcript, antisense to LPIN2
GCACAGACAGACUCGACAGAAAACAUGCGGAGGCGGCACAGUGCAGUUGCCACCAAAACUGAGCUUUAGACAAACCUAAACUACAGAGUGGUGCUUGGAGAGUCAGAAAACUUGGGCAGCCACCAAGGGGAAGCCAGGGUCCCUGGCGCAGAAGAGGCCAGAGAGGCCACAUCUUCUGCACACCUGAGGCCCGAUGGCCCUGCAGAAGGGAGGCAGGUUGGGAAGUGCUAGCGAAGGGCCAGCACUGACCCUGGCUCUGGGGUGAUCCAAGGACGCAGCUCAGAACUGCUUAGAAGAGGAGCCGGAGCUGCCUGAGGAAAUGGAAUGGCAGCCACAGAAACGAUGGAAAAGCGUCCUUCGUAUAAAUUCUGGGGCAGAUCUGCACCUGCAGGACCUCCCCAGUUGCUAUAGAUAUUUGGAAUAGAUCAAGUGAAAACCGAACAAGCAGAACAGAUGCCUCAUUUUGCUUACAAAACUGCUUUGAGAAUUGGGACGUGGCUACACCCCACGAAGUACAUCCCUCUGAAUUUCACCCACAUCAGAACCCAGAGCCCAGGAGAUACUCACAUUUGGACGGUUUCCAAAGGCAGCAUAGAAGGGCUGCUUAGACGGGGCAAACAGAUUCUUGAUAUCAUUUAGACACUCAAUUUUGAACUUCUCUGGUUUCUUUUCUAUCACUUCUCUAAGAAAAAAAUACAAAUACAAUCACCAAUCUCAAAA